rnacentral:rRNA from 1 species
UACGGAGGGUGCAAGCGUUAUCCGGAUUCACUGGGUUUAAAGGGCGCGUCGGCGGUUAGGUAAGUCCGUGGUGAAAUCCUGCAGCUUAACUGCAGAACUGCCGUGGAUACUCUCUAUCUUGAAUAUCGUGGAGGUUAGCGGAAUAUGUCAUGUAGCGGUGAAAUGCUUAGAUAUGACACAGAACACCCAUUGCGAAGGCAGCUAACUACGCGAUCAUUGACGCUGAUGCACGAAAGCGUGGGGAUCAAACAGG